ACGCAGCAUUACACAGUCAACCAUUAAAUAAAAAAUGUAAGUCGAAAACAGAAGUAGUAUAAAAGUAAAUAGGAUAUUUUUUUACACUGAGGUUUUUUUUUUUUACUUUUUAUCGGUAGGUUUAGAAGUGCUUUUGUUAUUAAUAUUAUGAAUAAAAUAAAGCUUAAGUUUCAGAGGGUUCAAAUUCCUAACCACGUCAACUCAUCGGUCGUGGCACUCAAAGGAGUUUAUCUCUGGCUCAAUAACACCGAAAACGAUUUUAAAACCCGGUGAGACCUUCCACUGUUACCAUUGUAGUCUUUGUUUCUGUGUUAUUAGUUUUGUCAGGGUAGCUCCAGGAUCAGUCAAAAUUAGCUAGGCUAAGUAGUUAGCUUCAAGCUACUUGAUUUGCUACAUUUAACUAAUUGAUCCACUUUACUGUGAAAUUAAUAUUUUUCCUUUCUUUCUUAAACGCUGCCGUUUACUUUCAGUGCUUUGUUUACACCUAUCACUGACACGGGUGGAUUAAACUAAAGUAAGUGCUGAGUUAUUAUGUUAGCAUAUUAGCUUGGACAUAACUGAGGUAUAACUUUAAAGAGAAAUUUUAAUGUUCUUUGCUGCAGCCUAUGGUAUUAAAAAUGACUCAUCUUUGUCAUUUGAGAAAUGAGUAAUAUGUAUUUUCAUUAAGACUGAAGUUAGUCUGUUUUUAAAUGCCCCAGUUCAUAGCAACAAUUCACCCAUAUUUCUUAAUUGUAAAGAAUGUAUCAAUCACAUAAGAAACAGAUUCUUACUGGCAACAAUAGUUUUUGUGUUGCUCAUCACCUUGUUUUUGAAUGUUUUAAUGUACACUAGGAAGUGAACUGAUGCACACUGAUGGAUUUAGAAUCAGAUGUUUCACUGAGACAGAAAGUUUAUUUUGUCUGAUGGUUGUGUUAUGUGUUGAAGGUGGACGUUCCUGUGACCAUUGGAAAAAGAAGAAAGAAAAGUUAACGAUUCUGUUGGAGUUGCAGUUGUGUCAUAAAAUCUAAUACUAUUUGUGUUUUUGCUGUACAUCUUAUUUCCAGAUAAUUCUGCUUCUCUGGAAUCUCAGCAAGGACUCUAUUUGUCUGUUUUUGUUUGAUGCAAAAUGGACUCAGACUGCUUCAUUGUUGAUCAGUCUUCUUCUGCAAAUUCAGACUGCACACUUCCUGAUUUAGACUUUGUUAAAGACGUGACAGAAGAUGAAGGAAAUGAGACUGUUGCAGUUGUGCCAGCAUCAGAGACAGAAGAUCUUGAUUCCUUCAGUCUAAUUGAGCCUCCUCCACUAGACUGGAGGUCUGACUCCUCUAGUGAAGCUGGUUCUGCAGAUGAUCUGGAGGAUUCCAGCAUGCCUCCAUCUGCUGACAUCCUGACCCCACUGGGAGAGUCAGUAAUGCUGCCUUCAUUAAUUCCAGUGGAUACAAACCAGCCUGUGCUUCUUAAAAAUAAAACAGAGCUAUUCCAAGAUUUAGAAGUGAAGUUGGAAAAGGAGCAUGGUGUAGUUAAAGAGGUGAGUGCCGAGGGCCCAAGGGAUGAAGACUACUCGGAAGAGGAUACAUUUAGGGAUGUUGAGGGGAACAUCAGUAAAGAAGUUGAAGAUUCAUGUGGGAGGCCAGGUGAUGAAGACCAUAGCCAUAUUCACACUUUACUCACCCAGCUUCAGCUAAUGGAGAAAGAACCCUGUCCAAGGACAUCCUCAUACAAUCGCUGCUCCAGGCUGUCAGAGCACCAUCCUCCUGCUCUGUCUCCAUCAACAAACAACAUAACUGAAACCACAGGUCUGCUGUUUUCUGAAAGCCACCAGAGUGACGUACUGGGACUUCUGCAGUGUACCAACAUCAGCUGUACACCCCAACCUUCCUGUCUGCCUCACAGAGGCCAGGUGGACGCGGUCGUGUCAGUUUCCUAUGAUCAAGAGGAUGCUCAGAGGUUUUGGGGGUGUGAUCCAAACGGUCGGCGGCACAGGGACUACUCCAUCACCUCUUUGCCUGAUGAUGAGUAUCCUGAGCCAGUAUGGAUGAAGCUGGGGGAGGAGCCACCAGAGGAAGAUGCUGCAGCAGAAGGCACAGAGUGUGCUGAUGACCAACCGUCAUAUAAAGAUGUGCCUGGGCCUUGUGACCCUGAAGACCUGCUGGAUGGAGUCAUAUUUGGUGCUAAGUAUCUGGGCUCCACUCAGAUCAAAUCGGACAGGAAUCCUUCGACAAAUGCUCGCAUGACCCAGGCUCAAGAGGCUGUUGACCGAAUUAAGGCUCCAGAAGGAGAGUCUCAGCCAAUGACAGAAGUGGAUCUAUUCAUCUCCACUCAACGAAUCAAAGUCCUCAAUGCUGACACACAGGAAGCCAUGAUGGACCAUGCUCUGCAGACAAUCUCCUACAUAGCGGACAUUGGCAACAUCGUGGUCCUGAUGGCACGAAGGAAGCUAAAAGGGCAGGAUGGUGGUUCUGCCUCCAGUGCGUCCUCUUCAUCAGCCUCUGUGUGUCAGAAGAAGUGUUUGAUGAUCUGUCACGUCUUCUCCUCUGAGGAUGCUCAGGUCAUCGCUCAGGCUAUUGGACAGGCGUUUGGUGUUGCCUAUCAGCAGUUCCUCCAGGCCAGUGGCAUCAAGGCCAAAGAUCUGAAGCCGGGCGAGUACAGUGACUACCUGGAGAGUCAGGAGCUGUAUAACGGAGACCUUGCCCAUUUUUCAGACUCUCAGAAUCUCCGAGAUAUCGCCAUCACCAAGCCUGCUGGUGAGAUCUUGGGGCUGGCAGUGGUGGAGUCAGGCUGGGGCUCCAUCCUCCCCACCGUGGUGGUGGCUAACCUGCUUCAUGGUGGCCCAGCUGAGCGCUGUGGUGAGCUUAGUAUCGGUGACCGGAUCAUGUCUGUCAAUGGCACCAGCUUAGUAGGCUUGCCCAUCACUACCUGCGAGAACAUCAUCCGGAAAUCAAAAGUAUGUGAAGCUCAGCAUUGUCCAUUGUCCUCCAGUCACCAUGGCGAUCAUAAGAAGACCCGAUCCCAAGUUUCAGUUGGGCUUCAGUGUUGAGGAUGGCAUUAUAUGCAGUCUGAUGCGGGGGGGUAUAGCGGAAAGAGGAGGAAUGCGUGUUGGGCAUCGCAUCAUUGAAAUUAAUGGACAAAGUGUUGUUGCAACUCCACAUGAUAAAAUCAUCCAGAUCCUCUCAAAUGCUGUUGGAGAGAUUCACCUGAAGACAAUGCCAGCCUCAACAUAUCGACUCUUAACAGGACAAGAGCAGCCGGUGUAUCUUUGAUCACUUCUUGCUUCCCUACCACAUUAACACUGUAGAGUUCAACCUACAUAUGCUUUUGCCAAACAUUAAAAGAAUUAUGCAAUUUUUGUCGCUCAGCUACUGUUACACUUCUGUUAUUAUAGAACAAACUAGUUUUUUUUAUCAUAUGUCAAAUGUUAUUUGGAAUGACCGAAAUAUAGGAUUUGCUUUCCGUUAUUUAUUAGAUCUUUUAGAAAUGAAAAAACCUGAACAGAGCUUUUUUUGUUGUCUCUUACAUAUUGGUGAGCAGCACCAAGUAGUGUGUAGUCUACUGGUCUUCCUGCCUUAUAUGUACCUCCAGUCUGAGAUAAACAAAUUUGAAAUAGUGACUUAAUCAAAUCAAGAUUUGUUUGUCUUGUGAUGUACUUCCUGUCUAUUUUGUACUCAUACAUAUCAAGAAGGUCUCUCACAAACUUCAGAGAUCACUUUGUUUUAUUCAUGCAGUGUUUUACUGACUGUGCUUGAUGUGGUGCUGAUUUGCACAAAAUAAAGGUCACUGCCUUAUUUGAUAGAGAUUUAUGUAUAUUUGUAUGUGUUUUUGUUCAUAUGAAUGCACAAUAAAGUUAUUUUAAAAACCUU